rnacentral:lncRNA from 1 species
UCCCCAGAACCAAAAGAAAAAUCUCUCCAGCAGGUGGAGACAGCCCUGGUGGUCGGGAGGCCGGAUGUGGAGGCAGGAGGAGGCCCACCUGGAUCAGGUGCUUCUCUCUCGUCGCCAGGAGCAUGUUGUUCCGCCACUGCAGCUGCCGCAGGCCCCCAUCGGCCAGGCCUUCCAGAACAAAGAGGUGGAGGUUCCCAUCCAGCAGGUGGAAGCCCGUCAGCACGUCCAGAUGCUCCUGAUGCUGGAUGUCGACGCGCAUCUUGAAGGCCGAGAGGAUCUGCUGGACGGUCCUGGUCGGGUAGGAGUCCAGCUCCAGGGCCUUGGCAUUGAUCAGGGUGACGUCCUUCAGCAGACCGUGCAGCAGGAACAGGUCCUGGGCACCGAACACGAACACAAUGCGGCCAAAGUGGCUGUCCAGGAGGUCCGCGCCCUGGGCUUUGGCCCAGGUGCUCAGAGGCACCGCCACGUCCACUCGCAGUUUGAGCAAAGAGUUGGCCUCCAAGUAGUGUCCAGCGGGCAUCGGGCUGUGCUGGAGGACCUCGGUGGCCGGGGUCUGGAACCUGGAGACCCUCCUGCCUCGGCUGACCUUGGGCUCACAGCGCUGGAUGGGGACCACCAGCUUCAGGUACUUGUGGCCAAGGAGCAGGUCCGCAAAACUGACCCGGGCCACUCCGUGAGGGUCCCAGGUCUUGUCCUGGGACUCGAAGGGGCUGUCCUCCGUCUCCUUGGAGGAGAUGAAGGACUGGAUGUUCCCGUGGGGAUCCAGGGGGUCCUCCCCAAACAGGGUGGGCCUGCGGGAGGCCUCGUCCGGCUGACGGUCCCGAUCGUGGACUUCCACCACCAUGGGGGGACCCUCCAGGUACUCCCGCAGGUCACUGGGGUGUAUGGCUCCCAGGCAGAUGACAUUGAUGUCCUCAAAGUAAACGUGGGUCCCGUGGGGCCGCUCCUCCGUCCUGUGCACCGGGGUCUUGUGGAAGCGGUACCUGCAGUAGACGGGGGUGCACAGCCUCUGCAACAGAACAGGCCCACGGCCACUCACCACGGCUGUCCCUCUGCCACCAGGAAGGAGGCCCACAGCCGCUCACCGGUGACUGUUCCUCUGCCACCAAGAACGGAGCGCCCACCUGGGACCCUCACACCCCAGGGCCAAGCCUGCAGCCUGGGGACCUCAGUUUGCCCUGCUACAAAGUGUCCACGGGUAACCCCACUCUCCAGGACUCUGAGGCCCAGUGUCCACAAAAGCGCCAUCAGGUAAGAAGGUAGAACAUAGAAAAAAAAAUAGGAAAUAAUGACUGGGGCUGGGCUGGGGCUCAGUGGCAGAGCGCUUGCCCGGCACGUGGGAGGCCCUGGGUUCCAUCCUCAGCACCACAGAGAAAUAAAUAAAGAAAAUAAAGGCAUCUGUCCAUCCACAGCUACAAAAAAUAA